rnacentral:rRNA from 1 species
GACGAACGCUGGCGGCGUGCUUAACACAUGCAAGUCGAACGGUAAGGCCCUUCGGGGUACACGAGUGGCGAACGGGUGAGUAACACGUGGGUAAUCUGCCCUGCACAUCGGGAUAAGCCUGGGAAACUGGGUCUAAUACCGAAUAGGACCACAGGACACAUGUCCUGUGGUGGAAAGCUUUUGCGGUGUGGGAUGGGCCCGCGGCCUAUCAGCUUGUUGGUGGGGUGGUGGCCUACCAAGGCGACGACGGGUAGCCGGCCUGGGAGGGUGUCCGGCCACACUAGGACUGAGAUACGGCCCAGACUACGACGGGAGGCAGCAGUGGGGAAUAUUGCACAAUGGGCGAAAGCCUGAUGCAGCGACGCCGCGUGGGGGAUGACGGCCUUCGGGUUGUAAACCUCUUUCACCAUCGACGAAGGUCCGGGUUUUCUCGGGCUGACGGUAGGUGGAGAAGAAGCACCGGCCAACUACGUG